CCGCGGCGCAGUAGGCGCCCAUGGGGCCCUGGGGACCGAGCGGCUCUGCCCGGGCUGCGGCCACCACCUUCCCCCGCCGAGGAGGGCUCGCUCCGCAGGGACCCCUCCCCGCUUCCCCUCGCCCCUGAAGUCGCCACCCACCCUGGCUUGCCCGCCGCCCUCGUGCGCUGCAACCCCCCGCGCCCCGCUCCCCACGGCCCGGCGGCGGUGACGACAGAGUGAGCCGCAGCGGGUGCCCAUCUCGCUUUGCGCGUGCCAUCAGGACACAUCAUCUGACAGAAACGCCGGACAUGGAAUCAGAAGUGUCCAUGGAUGUGUGGUCCUUGUCUUCUCACAAUCAUGAAGCUGAAGACCCAUUGCACGGGGAGGGGGGAAGGGAGCAGGUCUGAAUGCCUCCAGCCCUCCACCCUGUCCUGGGUCUUCCUCCUGUAAAAUGGGUACGCGGGGACUUCCCCGCUCAGUGGUUAAGCAUCCGCCUGACAAUGCAGGGGACACGGGUUCGAGCCCUGGUCCGGGAAGAUCCCACAUGCCACGGAGCAAGUAAGCCCGUGCGCCACAACUACUGAGCCUGUGCUCUAGAGCCUGCGAGCCACAACUACUGAGCCCACGAGCCACAACUACUGAGGCCCGUGCACCUAGAGCCCGUGCUCCGCAACAAAGAGUAGCCCCCACUCGCCGCAACUAGAGAAAGCCUGCGCACAGCAACGAAGACCCAAUGCAGCCAAAAGUAAAUUUAAAAUAAAUAAGUAAAUAAAUUUAUUUUAAAAAAUG